UACGUAGGGUGCAAGCGUUAAUCGGAAUUACUGGGCGUAAAGCGUGCGCAGGCGGUUGUGCAAGACAGAUGUGAAAUCCCCGGGCUCAACCUGGGAAUUGCAUUUGUGACUGCACGGCUAGAGUGUGUCAGAGGGGGUAGGAAUUCCACGUGUAGCAGUGAAAUGCGUAGAGAUGUGGAGGAAUACCGAUGGCGAAGGCAGCCCCUGGCAAGCAUUGACG
rnacentral:rRNA from 1 species